rnacentral:rRNA from 1 species
AGUGAACGCUGGCGGUAGGCCUAACACAUGCAAGUCGAACGGCAGCACAGUAAGAGCUUGCUCUUACGGGUGGCGAGUGGCGGACGGGUGAGGAAUACAUCGGAAUCUACUUUUUCGUGGGGGAUAACGUAGGGAAACUUACGCUAAUACCGCAUACGACCUACGGGUGAAAGCAGGGGAUCUUCGGACCUUGCGCGAUUGAAUGAGCCGAUGUCGGAUUAGCUAGUUGGCGGGGUAAAGGCCCACCAAGGCGACGAUCCGUAGCUGGUCUGAGAGGAUGAUCCGCCACACUGGAACUGAGACACGGUCCAGACUCCUACGGGAUGCAGCAGUGGGGAAUAUUGGACAAUGGGCGCAAGCCUGAUCCAGCCAUACCGCGUGGGUGAAGAAGGCCUUCGGGUUGUAAAGCCCUUUUGUUGGGAAAGAAAAGCAGCAGGUUAAUACCCCGCUGUUCUGACGGUACCCAAAGAAUAAGCACCGGCUAACUUCGUG